UACGGAGGGUGCAAGCGUUAAUCGGAAUUACUGGGCGUAAAGCGUGCGUAGGCGGUUCGUUAAGUCUGCUGUGAAAGCCCCGGGCUCAACCUGGGAAUAGCAGUGGAUACUGGCGAGCUAGAGUGUGAUAGAGGAUGGUGGAAUUCCCGGUGUAGCGGUGAAAUGCGUAGAGAUCGGGAGGAACAUCAGUGGCGAAGGCGGCCAUCUGGAUCAACACUGACGCUGAGGCACGAAAGCGUGGGGAGCAAACAGG
rnacentral:rRNA from 1 species